UGCAUAUCCAUAAGCGGAGGAAAAGAAACUAACAAGGAUUCCCCUAGUAACGGCGAGUGAAGCGGGAAGAGCUCAAAUUUGAAAUCUGGCAGUCUUCGAUUGUCCGAGUUGUAAUCUAUAGAGGCGUUUUCCGUGCCGGACCGUGUCCAAGUCUCCUGGAAAGGAGUAUCAAAGAGGGUGAUAAUCCCGUACUUAACACGACCACCGGUGCUCUGUGAUACGUCUUCUACGAGUCGAGUUGUUUGGGAAUGCAGCUCAAAAUGGGUGGUGAAUUCCAUCUAAAGCUAAAUAUUGGCGAGAGACCGAUAGCGAACAAGUACCGUGAGGGAAAGAUGAAAAGCACUUUGGAAAGAGAGUUAAACAGUACGUGAAAUUGUUGAAAGGGAAACGAUUGAAGUCAGUCGUGUUCUUUGGAUUCAGCCAGUUCUGCUGGUCUACUUCCUUGGAACGGGUCAACAUCAGUUUUGUCCGGUGGAUAAAGGUAGUAGGAAUGUGACUUCUCCGGAAGUGUUAUAGCCUAUUAUCACAUACACUGGGUGAGACUGAGGACUGCAGCUCGCCUUUAUGGCCGGCCUUCGGGCACGUUCGAGCUUAGGAUGUUGACAUAAUGGCUUUAAACGACCCGUCUUGAACACCGACCA
rnacentral:rRNA from 1 species